UUUUUAAAUCAUCUUUA
rnacentral:sRNA from 1 species